rnacentral:rRNA from 1 species
GAUGAACGCUGGCGGCGUGCCUAACACAUGCAAGUCGAGCGAAUGGAUCAAGAGCUUGCUCUUAUGAAGUUAGCGGCGGACGGGUGAGUAACACGUGGGUAACCUGCCCAUAAGACUGGGAUAACUCCGGGAAACCGGGGCUAAUACCGGAUAACAUUUUGAACCGCAUGGUUCGAAAUUGAAAGGCGGCUUCGGCUGUCACUUAUGGAUGGACCCGCGUCGCAUUAGCUAGUUGGUGAGGUAACGGCUCACCAAGGCAACGAUGCGUAGCCGACCUGAGAGGGUGAUCGGCCACACUGGGACUGAGACACGGCCCAGACUCCUACGGGAGGCAGCAGUAGGGAAUCUUCCGCAAUGGACGAAAGUCUGACGGAGCAACGCCGCGUGAGUGAUGAAGGCUUUCGGGUCGUAAAACUCUGUUGUUAGGGAAGAACAAGUGCUAGUUGAAUAAGCUGGCACCUUGACGGUACUUAACCAGAAAGCCACGGCUAACUACGUGCCAGCAGCCGCGGUAA